rnacentral:lncRNA from 1 species
AUCUGUUACCAUAAAGCACCAAUGCUGCAGCAAGCAAAGGCUCUAGCAGCUCAGCCAGCUGCUUGUGGCUGGAAAGCCAGACAGGAUGUUUGUGACUGUUGCCAUGGGAACAAAGGGGCAGUCCAUUCUGUACUGAGCACCGGAUGUUAGCUCAGUGUGUGUGUGUCAUAUGACCCGUACUGGAUGUACUUGGGAGGAGUUUCGUCUUGCUGUUGUUGAGUGCAGACAUGAUUCUCUGUACUGAUGUAAGAGGCAGAAAUAAAUGAUGUAAAUAGUUUUCUGUCUGCUUCUUUCCCUCCCUGGGGACACCAAAGGGGAGAGAGGAAGAACGGUGUGUUCCUCUCAUACAUCUGAGAAGAAUCGCUGGACCUCGCCUGCUUAUCAGCAGAGUGGAGACGCGGGGAGGUCGACAGGAAUAUCUGCCGGUGCCUACGCUGUGGCACAUUCCUCUGACCCAGGCAGAAUUCCAACAGUGGUAGCAGAGGAUGGUUGCGAUUCAUCGGACAUCUGCAUGAGAGGCUGGUGGAUUGUCCUCCACUGCUCCUAAGGAGGAAUAGAAGCGUCUGAAAGAAGCCAGAGGCUCCACAGACAGCUGGUGGAAAGAAGAGGUGUUUUCCAGAGCAACAAAGUUCAAGGUAUGCUGCAUUUCGGGCUAAAAGUGUGAACGCAGGAAGAUUAAUUCCCUGGUUCACGGAGCUGCGUUUCAAAGAAAACAAGAGCUCCGGGAGAAGAGGCCUGCAGCUUGAAGGCUGAAGCCUGCAUUCCACAAAUUUUUGUGGUAGAUAAGGAGUCCCAUUGAAAUGCAUUGUUGCUAGGCAACGGUCCUGGAAAGUUACUGGCAAGGGGCUGGACUCUGAGUGUGAGCCUGGGAAAGCGAAACAAAAUCAGAGAAUGUUUUGGCUACAAGUUUACGAGCUCUUGGAAGGGACUUUUCAAUAGCAGCCUGAGUUUAGCUGCCAGGUGCAAAGAGCGUAAACAAUUUGCAGUUUGCUGCGUGAGAAAGAAAAAAACAACUGUUGGAUUUUACAGUUUGUUUGACAUUGUGAGCUGGAGGCUUGGCUUCAAGAUGGAUGCCAAGAAAGGGGAGGUUGCCUUGCCCACCUCCCUUAACCAAUGACAAUUAUUCAUCUUGGUCUGUAAAGAUGAAGGCCCUGCUGCAGAAUCAGAGGCUUUUUGAUGUAAUUGAAAACCCCAUCCCUGCAGCACCAACCAGAGGUUGGGAGUCACAGAAUGUAAGGGCCAGGACUGCUAUAAUUCUGUGUGUCUCAGAUGAUCAGUUGGUGCAUGUUCAGCAUUUAGAAAAUGCGAAAGAGGUAUGGGACACGCUGCGUACAACGCAUCAGAGAGAUGCUGGUUCUUCAGCGUUGCUGUAUUUUGAGAAAUUGACCAAUCUGAGACUUGCGCCUGAUGGAGAUGUUCAAGCGCACCUGACAGAAAUGAAGUUUCUGCGUCAACAGAUGGUGGAACGCAAUUUUCGUCUUCAGGAGGAAGUGUUUUGCUUCAUGAUGAUAAACAGCCUUAGCCGCACCUACAAGGUUGUUGCCAGUCAGCUUGGUUCCCUACCGUCCGCGCAGCUGACCGCGGAGAGAGUUUGUGCUGUGGUCCUGAAUGAACACGACAGACUUGCUGCACUGGAAGAAAAAGACAGGGGGAGGGAAGAACAGAGUUCUAAUUCCCCACUGCUGAUGCUACUGGAGAGCAUGGUGUAGCAUUGAGUGCUGUCCGAUGCUACAAUUGUGGACAGACUGGGCAUCUACAGCGGAACUGUAAGAAGCCGCGCCAGUCAAGAGGAGCAAAGAGCAGCUCUACGAAGCCUCAGGCGUCAGGCAAAAGCCGUACCAAGUGCCAGGUGAAACCUGCAAAGGCUAUGAUGGCGAAAGGAACCACGCCAGAUGUUGGGAACUCGUUCAUAAUCGACACGGGCUGUACAAAACAUUUGUGCCCGCACAGAGGACUGUUUUCGACGUUGAAGAAGCAAAGCUUCACUGUGAAACAGGCCAACGGUCAGGAGUUGGAAGCAACUGGAAUUGGGACUGUGUAUCUUGAGAGUCUGAACUUGACUAUAAGUGAUGUUUACCUGGUUCCAGAACUGAGAUUUAAUCUGCUGAGCGUGUCGCAGAUUGCAAAGAAAGGACUGAAACUGUCCUAUGAUGCUAAAAGCUGCAAGAUCUACAAAGAUGGAGAACUGUUUCUUACUGCCAAAGAGAAAGAUGGACUGUAUUUGUUGACUUUUGAUCAAAGUGAUUACAUGAAAUGUAAUUCUGCUGUUUCUAACGAAAUCUCUCUUGCAGGAGUGACCAGUGUGAGCACCAGGAAGGUGACUAAGACCAAGAAGGUCAACAGAGCAUUUCAGCGGGUGUAUGCUGAUGUGAUUGGUCCUCUAGAACCAUCUAGAGGCGGUGCACGAUAUUACCUUGUGUGUGUGGAUUGUUUCACUAAUUAUUCUUGGGUUUAUAUGAUGGAGAAACCGCAAGAAACUUUAGAAAAGUUUCAGGAGUUUUGUGACAAGGUUAAAAGUAUGCAUGAUGCUAACAUUGAUUGUCUUUUCACAGAUGAGAAGCAAAUUUUUCUGUUGCAGAAGUUUCAGAAGUUCCUGGAUGGAAAAGGGAUAGACCACAAAGUGGCUGUUUCGCAAGAAGCGUGGAACAGGGGGGUCUGUGUAAAAGUGAACAAAGAAUUGCAAAAGGGGAUGAAUGCGCAAUUGCUGAGUUCACAUUUGCCACAUGAAUAUUGGGCUGAGUCGCUAGCGUCCUAUCUUCAUGUGUGGUUGAGAAAGGUCUCAACAGAGUUGGGAUGUUCUCCUUUUGAGAAGCUGUUCAAUAGAAAACCUUCUGUUGCCUAUUUUAAGGUUUUCGGGUCUCAUGUGAGAACAGAAGCUCCAGGUGGAGUAAAGAAUGCCAGAGGCAUUUUUGUGGGUUAUGAAAAAGGUCUCUACAGAGUAAUUUUGUCUGAAUCUGGUCAGGUGAUUCUCACAAAGUUCCUAGAGAGUGCUCCAAAGCAAGAGCGGAUAGUACAGACAUUUCCCACAGGAAACGAUUAUGAUGAUGAUGAGUUUGAUCUUAUUGAGUUCAGUAGUACUGAUGAUGACAGUGAGAGCUCAGAGAGUUCAGUUGUCACAGUCAUUGAGAGGAAAUCUCACAUAAUGACUAGACCCUCAGAAGAGGAGGAUGAACCACUGAUUGCUACUGGUUCUCAACAGACUCCAAAGGUUGAACCGGUGAGCACAGAGGAUCAGAACCUCUUACGUAGGUCUGAGAGAGUUACAAAGGGUGUACCACCAAAGAGGUACUCAAAAGAGUUUGCUAACUUAGCUGUUGCAUGUGUUGCUAUUGUUAACAACUCAAAGCAGGUUGAAGCAGUGUCUACGUCAGAGACAAAGACACAACAGAGGGUAGCUAGCCAAGGUAAUGCAGAAGCACUCAUUCCUUGGAAGCCAGACAACCAGAGAGGUACAUUGGUUAAACCAGUGGCGGGUAGUUCCAAGGGUGGAACUGAAACAACAGGGGAAUGUUAUAAAUAUAACAACUGUUUGUUUUCUUCUCUGGAUGACGCUUUGCUCGCGGCACACAUUGAUACUUUAGGGGAGUAUGUUACCAUAAAGCACCAAUGCUGCAGCAAGCAAAGGCUCUAGCAGCUCAGCCAGCUGCUUGUGGCUGGAAAGCCAGACAGGAUGUUUGUGACUGUUGCCAUGGGAACAAAGGGGCAGUCCAUUCUGUACUGAGCACCGGAUGUUAGCUCAGUGUGUGUGUGUCAUAUGACCCGUACUGGAUGUACUUGGGAGGAGUUUCGUCUUGCUGUUGUUGAGUGCAGACAUGAUUCUCUGUACUGAUGUAAGAGGCAGAAAUAAAUGAUGUAAAUAGUUUUCUGUCUGCUUCUUUCCCCUCCCUGGGGACACCAAAGGGGAGAGAGGAAGAACGGUGUGUUCCUCUCAUACAUCUGAGAAGAAUCGCCGGACCUCGCCUGCUUAUCAGCAGAGUGGAGACGCGGGGAGGUCGACAGGAAUAUCUGCCGGUGCCUACGCUGUGGCACAUUCCUCUGACCCAGGCAGAAUUCCAACACGCACA